rnacentral:rRNA from 1 species
CCUACGGGUGGCAGCAGUGAGGAAUAUUGGUCAAUGGACGAGAGUCUGAACCAGCCAAGUAGCGUGAAGGAUGACUGCCCUAUGGGUUGUAAACUUCUUUUAUAAAGGAAUAAAACGAGGCACGUGUGCCUUUUUGCAUGUACUUUAUGAAUAAGGAUCGGCUAACUCCGUGCCAGCAGCCGCGGUAAUACGGAGGAUCCGAGCGUUAUCCGGAUUUAUUGGGUUUAAAGGGAGCGUAGAUGGGUUGUUAAGUCAGUUGUGAAAGUUUGCGGCUCAACCGUAAAAUUGCAAUUGAUACUGGCAGUCGUGAGUACAGUUGAUGUAAGCGGAAUUCGUGGUGUAGCGGUGAAAUGCUUAGAUAUCACGAAGAACCCCGAUUGCGAAGGCAGCUUACUAAACUGUGACUGACAUUGAUGCUCGAAAGUGUGGGUAUCAAACAGGAUUAGAUACCCGUGUAGUC